rnacentral:ncRNA from 2 species
AGACUAAGUGAUCUGUCGAAGCUGUGGGAUGUAAAAAUACAUCGGUAGGGGAGCGUUCCGCCUCAGAGGGAAGCACCAGUGCGAGCAGGUGUGGACGAAGUGGAAGAGAGAAUGUCGGCUUGAGUAACGUAAACAUUGGUGAGAAUCCAAUGCCCUGAAAACCUAAGGUUUCCUCCGCAAGGUUCAUCCACGGAGGGUGAGUCAGGGCCUAAUAUCAGGCCGAAAGGUGUAUUCGAUGGAAAACAGGUUAAUAUUCCUGCACUACCCCUUGUUGGUCCCAAGGGACGGAGGAGGCUAGGUUAGCCGAAAGAUGGUUAUCGGUUCAAGGAUGCAAGGUGACCCUACUUUUUUCAGGGUAAGAAGGGGUAGAGAAAAUGCCUCGAGCCAAUGUCCGAGUACCAAGCACUACAGCGCUGAAGUAACCCAUGCCAUACUCCCAGGAAAAGCUCGAAUGACCUUUAACAAAUGGGUACCUGUACCCGAAACCGACACAAGUAGGUAGGUAGAGAAUGCCUAGGGGCACGAGACAACUCUCUCUAAGGAACUCGGCAAAAUAGCCCCGUAACUUCGAGAGAAGGGGUGCCUCCUUAGGAGGUUGCAGUGACCAGGCCCGGGCGACUGUUUACCAAAAACACAGGUCUCCGCAAAGUCAUAAGACCAUGUAUGGGGGAUGAUGCCUGCCCAGUGCCAGAAGGUUAAGGAAGUUGGUGACCUGAUGACGGGGAAGCUAGCGAUCGAAGCCCUGGUGAAUGGCGGCCGUAACUAUAACGGUCCUAAGGUAGAGAAAUUCCUUUUCGGGUAAUUUUCGACCUGCACGAAAGGUGUAACGAUCUGGGCACUGUCUCAGAGAGAGACUCGGUGAAAUGGACAUGUCUGUGAAGAUGCGGACUACCUGCACCUGGACAGAAUGACCCUGUGAAGCUUUACUGUUCCCUAGGAUUGUCUUUGGGUUUUUCUUGCGCAGCUUAGGUGGAAGGCGAAGAAGGCUCCCUCUCGGGGGGGCCUGAGCCAUCAGUGAGAUACCACUCUAGAAGAGCUAGAAUUAUAACCUUGUGUCAGAACCUACGGGCCAAGGGACAGUCUCAGGUAGACAGUUUCUAUGGGGCGUAGGCCUCCCAAAAGGUAAUGGAGGCGUGCAAAGGUUUCCUCAGGCCGGACGGAAAUCGACCCUCGAGUGCAAAGGCAGAAGGGAGCUUGACUGUAAGACCCACCCGUUGAGCAGGGAUGAAAGUCGGCCUUAGUGAUCCGACGGUGCCGAGUGGAAGGGUCGUCUCUCAAUGGAUAAAAUUUACUCUAGGGAUAACAGGAUGAUCUUCCCCAAGAGUUCACAUCGACGGGAAGGUUUGGCACCUCGAUGUUGGCUCUUCGCCACCUGGGGCGGUAGUACGUUCCAAGGGUUGGGUUGUUCUCCCAUUAAAGAGGUACAUGAGCUGGGUUCAGAACAUCAUGAGAUAGUUCGGUCCAUAUCCGGUGCG